UUAUUGCAACAACAAAAAACACUUAUUUUUGUAUUUUAAGAUCAUUUUUUAAGAUCUUAAAAUACAAAAACCUGAUUACCGAAUUUUAUUGAUUAUAAUAUCCAUUCAUCAAUUAGCUUCAAUCCGUUGAAUACCAACGGCCAUAUGGUUCUUUCAAUGUGCAUUUGUAAGCAUAGGCACCCCAUGCUAAGCCUUUUUCAUUACCAACACUAAAGUAUAAUUACAAAAUAUGAAAUCAUGAAUCAAAAAUUACUCUUCUCAAAAAAUACUUGUUGUAAACAAGGACAAAAAGAAUCAAAAAAUAAUAAUAAGCAAACGAAAGAAAUGUAAUGGCGUUUGGAGGCGAAUUUGUGACGAAUUGAAAGGGGAUUGUAGGCGAGAGAAAAUUUGGCAAAGCGUCGAACAUCACAAUCAAAUACAAACCAACUUUCAAGCACGAAAUCCGUACUAUGAUACCAUUUUAAAAUUUAAUGUAUAGGGCUAUGGAAUGACAAGGCACCCUAUAGAGUACCUGCAAGUUCUUCAUAGCCAUCGUAUAUAAAGCUCUCCCCUAUUUGCAUCAAGCCCUUACAUGAUAUAGAAGAAAGUAAUAAGAAGAUGGUUAAGGAGAUAGAAGAAUUAAACCUAGAUUAUAUAAUCUGAUAUGGCUUUUCUACAUUUUUUCGACUGCGCUUCCCAAACCCUAGAUACAUACAUAGAUGGAGAUGAACUUCUUGCCAUUAAUAGGCCCAGCAAACAAUGGUUUUGACCAAAUUAUUUCCACCGUCUUUCUAUCCUAAUUUCUUACUCCAUUUUAGAUGAUAUAUUCCCUUUUUAUUGCAACAACAAUAAAACACUUAUUUUUGUAUUUUAAGAUCAUUUUUUAAGAUCUUAAAUUCCAAAAACCCGAUUACCGAAUUUUACUGAUUAUAAUAUCCAUUCAUCAACUAGUUUCAAUCUGCUGAAUACCAACGGCCAUAUGGUUCUUUCAAUGUGCAUUUGUAAGCAUAGGCACCUUAUGCUAAGCCUUUUUCAUUACUAACACUAAAGUAUAAUUACAAAAUAUGAAACCAUGAAUCAAAAACCACUCUUUUCAAAAAAUACUUGUUGCAAACAAGGACAAAAAGAAUCGAAAGAUAAUAAUAAGCAAACGAAAGAAAUGUAAUGGCGUUUGGAGGCGAAUUUGUGACGAAUUGAAAGGGGAUUGUAGGCGAAAGAAAAUUUGGCAAAGCGCCGAACAUCACAAUCAAAUACAAACCAACUUUCAAGCACGAAAUCCGUACUAUGAUACCAUUUUAAAAUUUAAUGUAUAGGGCUAAGGAAUGACAAGGCACCCUACAGAAUACCUGCAGGUUUUUCAGAGCCAUCGUAUAUAAAGCUCUCCCCUAUUUGCAUCCAGCCCUUACAUGAUAUAGAAGAAAGUAAUAAGAAGAUGGUUAAGAAGAUAGAAGAACUAAACCUAGAUUAUAUAAUCAGAUAUGGCUUUUCUACAUUUUUUCGGAUGCGCUUCCCAAACCAUAGAUACAUACAUAGAUGGAGAUGAACUUCUUGCCAUUAAUAGGCCCAGCAAACAAUGGUUUUGACCAAAUUAUUUUCACCGUCUUUCUAUCCUAAUUUCUUACUCCAUUUUAGAUGAUAUAUUCCAAUGUUAUUACAACAACAUAAAACACUUAUUUUUGUAUUUUAUGAUCAUUUUUUAAGAUCUUAAAAUACAAAAACCCGAUUACCGGAUUUUAUUAAUUAUAAUAUUCAUUCAUCUACUAGCUUCAAUCUGUUGAAUACCAACGGCCAUAUGGUUCUUUCAAUGUGCAUUUAUAAGCUUAGGCACCCCAUGCUAAGCCUUUUUCAUUACCAACACUAAAAUAUAAUUACAAAAUAUGAAACCAUGAAUCAAAAAUCACUCUUUUCAAAAAAUACUUGUUGUACACAAGGACAUAAAGAAUCGAAAGAUAAUAAUAAGCAAACGAAAGAAAUGUAAUUGUGUUUAGAGGCGAAUUUGUGACGAAUUGAAAGGGGAUUGUAGACGAAAGGAAAUUUGGCAAAACGUCGAACAUCACAAUCAAAUACAAACCAACUUUCAAGCACAAAAUUCGUAGUAUGAUACCAUUUUAAAAUUUAAUGUAUAGGGCUAAGGAAUGACAAGGCACCCUACAGAGUAUCUGCAUGUUCUUCAGAGCCAUCGUAUAUAAAGCUCUCCCCUAUUUGCAUCCAGCCCUUACAUGAUAUAGAAGAAAGUAAUAAGAAGAUGGUCAAGGAGAUAGAAGAAUUAAACCUAGAUUAUAUAAUCGGAUAUGGCUUUUCUACGUUUAUUCUGUUUCGCUUCCCAAACUCCAGAUACAUACAUAGAUGGAGAUGGAGUUCUUACCAUUUAUAUGCCCGGCUAACAAUGGUUUUGACCAAAUUAUUUCCACCGUCUUUCUAUCCUAAUUUAUUACUUCAUUUUAGAUGAUAUAUUCCCUUGUUAUUGCAACAACAAAAAACACUUAUUUUUGUAUUUUAAGAUCAUUUUUUAAGAUCUUAAAAUACAAAAACCCGAUUACCGAAUUUUAUUGAUUAUAAUAUACAUUCAUCAAUUAGCUUCAAUACGCUGAAUACCAACGGCCAUAUGGUUCUUUCAAUUUGAAUUUGUAAGCAUAGGCACCCCAUGCUAAGCCUUUUUCAUUACCAACACUAAAGUAUAAUUACAAAAUAUGAAAUCAUGAAUUAAAAAUCACUCUUUUCAAAAAAUACUUGUUGUAAACAAGGACAAAAAGAAUCGAAAGAUAAUAAUAAGCAAACGAAAGAAAUGUAAUGGCGUUUGGAGGCUAAUUUGUGACGAAUUGAAAGGGGAUUGUAGGUGAAAAGAAAUUUGGCAAAGCUUCGAACAUUACAAUCAAAUACAAACCAACUUUCAAGCACGAAAUCCGUACUAUGAUACCAUUUUAAAAUUUAAUGUAUAGGGCUAAGGAAUGACAAGGCACCCUACAGAAUACCUGCAGGUUUUUCAGAGCCAUCGUAUAUAAAGUUCUCCC
rnacentral:lncRNA from 1 species